rnacentral:lncRNA from 10 species
GGCAGAGACUGUUAGCAGGCCUUCAAGGGAGAAGAAGUUGGAACAGAAAUUUAUGCUGAAGGGUGUCACAGGACAGAGAGAGAUCAUUUAUGAAGAGAGGAAUAGUUGGAGACUUUCCUGGAAAAGGUGGCAUUUGCAAAGGCCUUAAAGGAUGACCAUGAGUUGGACACAAGGAGAGAAGAGAAAAAGGCACCCGGGUAGA